CAAGACAGAGUCCAUUAUAUAUGAGCAAUGGUUUACAGAAUGAUUUAAAACAGAGGAGAAGAACAACAAUUUGAUUGAUUACUUUUGAUAAAAUGAAACAUCAAUUUGUUUAGUUAAUCCUCUAUUUACAUAGUAAAGAGAGAGAAGAACAUCAACUUAAUGAAACUGAGCAUUACCUGAUCAAUCACAACAACGAAUGCUCUGUAUGCUGUAUAUAUCACAAACAUGUAUAGAUUCUGGGUACCAAAAAAUUUCCCCCAGAUCACCCUAGCCCUAACAUAAAGCAACAAAUCGGAAUUCUUGCUUUCACUAUAUACACAUAGAUGGUUUCCUCAAGUCCAAUGAAUUAAUAGAAAUUAAGAAAGAUGAAUCCCUCCCAAAAUCUGCUUACACAGCUCCACCAGAUGAUUACCUUGCUUA